rnacentral:piRNA from 1 species
UGAGGUUUCAACAAAAUUUGG